rnacentral:misc_RNA from 1 species
ACGAGUUUUUAAUUGUUAGGUUUAGAGUUUGAGCUGGUUUAAUCUAAUUAAUAUGUGCUUUACUCUAAUCGAAAACAAGGUCCCACUCAUUACUUCAACACUUGUGAAACUUAUUCAUUACAAAACAUUAUUAUUUGUUUAUUGGAAACGUUUUGAUUAUUAAAAAAGUUUAAUAC